rnacentral:rRNA from 1 species
AAUGGAUGUUAUAGAAUGUAAUAAAUGGGCCUUUGUGCCUAUAACAUUAUACAACUUUCAGCAACGGAUAUCUUGGCUCUCGCAUCGAUGAAGAACGCAGCGAAAUGCGAUAAGUAAUGUGAAUUGCAGAAUUCAGUGAAUCAUCGAAUCUUUGAACGCACCUUGCGCUCCUUGGUAUUCCGAGGAGCAUGCCUGUUUGAGUGUCAUUAAUCUAUCAACCUCUUCAGCUUUUGCUGGUUGAGUGUUGGAUGUGGGGGUUUUUUUUGCUGGUCUUUUACAAAGGUCAGCUCCCCUAAAAUGUAUUAGCGGAACAAUUUGUUGACCGUUCAUUGGUGUGAUAAUUAUCUACGCUACUGACGUGAGGCAAGUUCAGCUUCUAACAGUCCAUUGACUUGGACAGUUUUUCAUUAAUGUGACCUCAAAUCAGGUAGGACUACCCGCUGAACUUAAGCAUAUCAAUAAGCGGAGGAAAAGAAACUAACAAGGAUUCCCCUAGUAACUGCGAGUGAAGCGGGAAAAGCUCAAAUUUAAAAUCUGUCAGUCUUUGGCUGUCCGAGUUGUAAUCUAGAGAAGUGUUAUCUGCGCUGGACCGUGUACAAGUCUCCUGGAAUGGAGCGUCAUAGAGGGUGAGAAUCCCGUCUCUGACACGGACUGCCAGGGCUUUGUGAUGCACUCUCAAAGAGUCGAGUUGUUUGGGAAUGCAGCUCAAAAUGGGUGGUAAAUUCCAUCUAAAGCUAAAUAUUGGCGAGAGACCGAUAGCGAACAAGUACCGUGAGGGAAAGGUGAAAAGAACUUUGGAAAGAGAGUUAAACAGUACGUGAAAUUGCUGAAAGGGAAACGCUUGAAGUCAGUCGCGUUGUCUAGGGAUCAACCUUGCUUUUGCUUGGUGUACUUUCUGGUUAACGGGUCA